AUUGAACGCUGGCGGCAGGCCUAACACAUGCAAGUCGAGCGGAUGAGUGGAGCUUGCUCCAUGAUUCAGCGGCGGACGGGUGAGUAAUGCCUAGGAAUCUGCCUGGUAGUGGGGGACAACGUUUCGAAAGGAACGCUAAUACCGCAUACGUCCUACGGGAGAAAGUGGGGGAUCUUCGGACCUCACGCUAUCAGAUGAGCCUAGGUCGGAUUAGCUAGUCGGUGAGGUAAUGGCUCACCAGGGCUACGAUCCGUAACUGGUCUGAGAGGAUGAUCAGUCAUACUGGAACUGAGACACGGUCCAGACUCCUACGGGAAGCAGCAGUGGGGAAUAUUGGACAAUGGGCGAAAGCCUGAUCCAGCCAUGCCGCGUGUGUGAAGAAGGUCUUCGGAUUGUAAAGCACUUUAAGUUGGGAGGAAGGGCAGUAAGUUAAUACCUUGCUGUUUUGACGUUACCGACAGAAUAAGCACCGGCUAACUUCGUGCCAGCAGCCGCCGUAAGAC
rnacentral:rRNA from 1 species